rnacentral:rRNA from 1 species
UACAGAGGUCUCAAGCGUUGUUCGGAUUCAUUGGGCGUAAAGAGCGUGUAGGCGGUCCGGUAAGUCCGCUGUGAAAGUCGGGGGCUCACCCUCGGAAGUGCAUUGGAAACUGGCAGACUGGAGUCCCGGAGAGGAGGGUGGAAUUCCUGGUGUAGCGGUGAAAUGCGUAGAUAUCAGGAGGAACACCGGUGGCGAAGGCGGCCCUCUGGACGGUGACUGACGCUGAGACGCGAAAGCGUGGGGAGCAAACAGG